rnacentral:rRNA from 1 species
GUAGCGGCGAGUGGAGCGGCUAAAGCUCAAAUUUAAAAUCCUCCGGGAGUUGUAAUUUGUAGACUUGUUUUAGGUGACUGAUUAAAAUUUGUUGGAAUACAAUACCAUAGAGGGUGAUAGUCCCGUUAAAUCUUAACCAAUUGUAAAACAAAGUCACAGAGCCGAGUUGUUUGGGAAUGCAGCUCAAAGUGGGUGGUAAACUCCAUCUAAAGCUAAAUAUUGGCGAGAGACCGAUAGCGAACAAGUACAGUGAUGGAAAGAUGAAAAGAACUUUGAAAAGAGAGUGAAAUAGUACGUGAAAUUGUUGAAAGGGAAGGAUUUAUUGAUAGACAUGAUUUACUAGAACAAACUUCCUUUGGGUGGUUGUACUCUAGUAACAUCAGGUGAAUUUUUAUGAAAUGGGAAUGAGAAAACUUUUGAAAUGUGGCUCCUUGCGGAGUGUUAUAGUCAAAGGAAAUAGUUCCACAAUUUAUAUGAAUUCACAUAAUAUUAAUAAAUCACCCGUCUUGAAACACGGACCACAAUA